rnacentral:rRNA from 1 species
UACGUAGGGUGCGAGCGUUGUCCGGAAUUAUUGGGCGUAAAGGGCUCGUAGGCGGUUUGUCGCGUCGGGAGUGAAAACCCAGGGCUUAACUCUGGGCUUGCUUUCGAUACGGGCAGACUAGAGGUAUGCAGGGGAGAACGGAAUUCCUGGUGUAGCGGUGAAAUGCGCAGAUAUCAGGAGGAACACCGGUGGCGAAGGCGGUUCUCGUGGGCAUCACCUGACGCUGAGGAGCGAAAGUGUGGGGAGCGAACAGG